rnacentral:rRNA from 1 species
AGGGCGUAUGGGGAAUGCCUAGGCACACUCCGGCGAAGAAGGACGCAGCAAACAGCGAAAUGCGACGGUGAGCGGUAAGCACGUGAAGAGCCGUCGAUAUCCGAAUGGGGGAACCCACACGGAGUCAUAUCCGUGUAUCACAUGUCGAAUACAUAGACAUGAUGAGGCGAGACGCAGGGAACUGAAACAUCUAAGUACCUGCAGGAAGAGAAAAUAAGAAUGAUUUUCUGAGUAGCGGCGAGCGAAAGGGAAAGAGCCCAAACCGAUUUGAGGAUCGGGGUAGUAGGAUCAUCGAUAAAUCAAACAGAGGAUCAUAGAGGAAUCACAUGGGAAGGUGAGCGAGAGAGGGUGAGAGCCCCGUACUCGAAAUGAGAGACUGGAGAGAGAUGACACCUGAGUAGGGCGGGACACGAGAAAUCCUGUCUGAAUCAGCCGGGACCAUCCGGCAAGGCUAAAUACGAGAGAGUGACCGAUAGUGAACCAGUACCGUGAGGGAAAGGUGAAAAGAACCCCGGGAGGGGAGUGAAAGAGAACCUGAAACCAUAUGCCUACAAGAAGUCAGAGCCCGUUAAAGGGUGAUGGCGUGCCUUUUGUAGAAUGAACCGGCGAGUUACUGUAUGGAGCGAGGUUAAGCAGGAUAUGCGGAGCCGAAGCGAAAGCGAGUCUUAAGAGGGCGCGAGUUGCAUGCAGUAGACCCGAAACCGGGUGAUCUAGCCAUGACCAGGUUGAAGUUGGGGUAAAACCCGAUGGAGGACCGAACCGACCCCCGUUGAAACGUUGGCGGAUGAGUUGUGGCUAGGGGUGAAAUUCCAAUCGAACCCGGAGAUAGCUGGUUCUCCCCGAAAUAGCUUUAGGGCUAGCGUCGAGAGAAGAGUUGCGUGAAGGUAGAGCACUGAAUAUGUGAUGGCCCCAUCUCGGGGUACUGAGCAUAAUCAAACUGCGAAUGUCACGCCAACAUGCUCGGCAGUCAGACAGCGGGUGAUAAGGUCCGUUGUCAAGAGGGAAACAGCCCAGACCAUCAGCUAAGGUCCCAAAAUGUAUGCUAAGUGGAAAAGGAUGUGGAGAUGUACAGACAACUAGGAGGUUGGCUCAGAAGCAGCCAUCCUUUAAAGAGUGCGUAACAGCUCACUAGUCGAAUGACUCUGCGCCGAUAAUUUACCGGGGCUAAGCAUACUACCGAAGCUAUGGAUCCCAAGGGAUGGUAGGGGAGCGUUCCAUGAACGGAGAAGUACGACCGAAAGGACGUGUGGAGAUCAUGGAAGAGAGAAUGCCGGUGUGAGUAGCGGAACGUGGGUGAGAAUCCCACGCACCGAAAACCCAAGGUUUCCAGAGGAAGGUUCGUCCGCUCUGGGUAAGUCGGGACCUAAGGCGAGGCCGAAAGGCGUAGUCGAUGGACAACAGGUAGAGAUUCCUGUACCCGUAUAUAUGUGAAGGAAUGACGGAGAGAGGAAGCUGCAGCCAGCGGCUGGAAGAGCUGGUGCAAGCGAGAUAUCGGGAUGGCAGGCAAAUCCACCAUCCGAAACGAGAAGGCGUGAAGCGUACGGAAAGCUACGGCGAGUACGGAAGGCAGUGGAGGAACUUCCAAGAAAAGUUUCUAACGUUAAGUAUAUAUGGCCCGUACCGAAAAUGGACACACAUGGGUGAGGAGAGAAUCCUAAGGUGAGCGAGAGAACUAUAGCUAAGGAACUCUGCAAAAUGACUCCGUAACUUAGGGAGAAGGAGUGCUCAUAGAGAUAUGAGCCGCAGUGAAACGGCCCAAGCGACUGUUUACCAAAAACACAGCUCUCUGCUAAGCCGCAAGGCGAAGUAUAGGGGGUGACGCCUGCCCGGUGCUGGAAGGUUAAGGGGAGGGGUUAACGCAAGUGAAGCCCUGAACUGAAGCCCCAGUAAACGGCGGCCGUAACUAUAACGGUCCUAAGGUAGCGAAAUUCCUUGUCAGGUAAGUUCUGACCCGCACGAAAGGCGUAACGAUUUGGGCGCUGUCUCAGCUGUAGACUCGGUGAAGUCUUAGUACCUGUGAAGAUGCAGGUUACCCGCGACUAGACGGAAAGACCCCAUGGAGCUUCACUGCAGGUUGAUAUUGGGAUUUGAUGCAGCAUGUACAGGAUAGGUAGGAGGCAAAGAGAUGGAUACGCCAGUAUUCAAGGAGCCGCUGUUGGGAUACUACCCCUGUUGUAUUGGAUUUCUAACCGGACGACGUAGAGCCGUUGACGGGACAGUGUCAGUCGGGCAGUUUGACUGGGGCGGUCGCCUCCCAAAGAGUAACGGAGGCGCCCAAAGAUACCCUCAGCUUGGAUGGAAACCAAGCGCAGAGUGCAAAGGCAAAAGGGUGUUUGACUGCGAGACCCACAAGUCGAGCAGGGACGAAAGUCGGGCUUAGUGAUCCGGCGGUGCUGAAUGGAAAGGCCGUCGCUCAACGGAUAAAAGCUACCCUGGGGAUAACAGGCUGAUCUCCCCCAA